ACAAGCAAAGAACAGAAGGGAGGAAAAGAGGGUUCCGGGGAAAGGAACAAAAAUAGAAAAUUCAAAGAAAAAAAAACGAGGGAAAACCGCUGAUUUUUUCUUCUGUGGUUGUUUUUGGAGAGGAAACUGAAACACAAAGAAAGAGGUGUCCUAGCCCCAGUCACAGCAAGUCCAAAGCACCCCUGAAUGCAGUCAGCCCUGAGCCUAGACUGGAACUUGCAGACCACUGAAGACAAAGUGAGAAGACAACUGUCUACAAGCUCCCUCCAGAGGAGCCAAGUUGGCCAGCACCUUGAUCUUGGACUUCUCAGCCUCCAGAACUCAGGGACAAUCAUGGUGCUGGAGGAGCCAGGAGAGACUUCUCUAGAAAGUGCUAAUUGACCUGAGAUCUUCCAGAAGAUUAGGAGUUAAACAAAGGAAAGGACAUUCCCAAGAGAGGUUACAGAGAGCAUGGGCAAAGGCCCUGAGGUGAGAGAGACCAUGUAGGAUGAGAUGGCAGUUGCCAAAAUGGGCUAAAUGUAUGGGACUCAAUAAGGGAGUUUCAUCUUUAAGAGUGAUAGCAGGCAUGCCCAGCCAAUGUGGCUCAGUGGCUGAGCGUCAACCCAUG